rnacentral:rRNA from 1 species
UAGGGAAUCUUCGGCAAUGGACGAAAGUCUGACCGAGCAACGCCGCGUGAGUGAAGAAGGUUUUCGGAUCGUAAAACUCUGUUGUUAGAGAAGAACAAGGACGUUAGUAACUGAACGUCCCCUGACGGUAUCUAACCAGAAAGCCACGGCUAACUACGUGCCAGCAGCCGCGGUAAUACGUAGGUGGCAAGCGUUGUCCGGAUUUAUUGGGCGUAAAGCGAGCGCAGGCGGUUUCUUAAGUCUGAUGUGAAAGCCCCCGGCUCAACCGGGGAGGGUCAUUGGAAACGGGGAGGCUUGAGUGCAGAAGAGGAGGGUGGAAUUCCAUGUGUAGCGGUGAAAUGCGUAGAUAUAUGGAGGAACACCAGUGGCGAAGGCGGCUCUCUGGUCUGUAACUGACGCUGAGGCUCGAAAGCGUGGGGAGCAAACAGG